rnacentral:rRNA from 1 species
GACGUAGGGCGCGAGCGUUGUCCGGAUUUAUUGGGCGUAAAGAGCUCGUAGGCGGCUUGUUGCGUCAGCUGUGAAAACCCGCAGCUCAACUGUGGGCUUGCAGCUGAUACGGGCAGGCUUGAGUUCGGUAGGGGAGACUGGAAUUCCUGGUGUAGCGGUGAAAUGCGUAGAUAUCUGGAGGAACACCGGUGGCGAAGGCGGCAUCCUGGACCGGUACUGACGCUGAGGCGCGAAAGCUAGGGGAGCAAACGGG